rnacentral:sRNA from 1 species
UUACCCAAAUAUUCGAUUGAGCGCUUAAA